GCGGCGUGCCUAUACAUGCAAGUCGAGCGAACAGACGAGGAGCUUGCUCCUCUGACGUUAGCGGCGGACGGGUGAGUAACACGUGGAUAACCUACCUAUAAGACUGGGAUAACUUCGGGAAACCGGAGCUAAUACCGGAUAAUAUAUUGAACCGCAUGGUUCAAUAGUGAAAGACGGUUUUGCUGUCACUUAUAGAUGGAUCCGCGCCGCAUUAGCUAGUUGGUAAGGUAACGGCUUACCAAGGCAACGAUGCGUAGCCGACCUGAGAGGGUGAUCGGCCACACUGGAACUGAGACACGGUCCAGACUCCUACGGGAGGCAGCAGUAGGGAAUCUUCCGCAAUGGGCGAAAGCCUGACGGAGCAACGCCGCGUGAGUGAUGAAGGUCUUCGGAUCGUAAAACUCUGUUAUUAGGGAAGAACAAAUGUGUAAGUAACUAUGCACGUCUUGACGGUACCUAAUCAGAAAGCCACGGCUAACUACGUGCCAGCAGCCGCGGUAAUACGUAGGUGGCAAGCGUUAUCCGGAAUUAUUGGGCGUAAAGCGCGCGUAGGCGGUUUUUUAAGUCUGAUGUGAAAGCCCACGGCUCAACCGUGGAGGGUCAUUGGAAACUGGAAAACUUGAGUGCAGAAGAGGAAAGUGGAAUUCCAUGU
rnacentral:rRNA from 1 species